rnacentral:misc_RNA from 1 species
GUGACAAUGAACCUUGAAAUGAAUUAUAUGAAAGAUUGAGUUGUUCAAGCUUGUCCAAGUUGGUGAAUAGUGUUUCUGGGACUGAACCAUUCAAAUGGUUAAAUGACAAAUCGAGGUAAGUCAGAUUAUGGCAACGCAGUACAAAUUCAGGGAAUUCUAAUUGAAGUUCAUUGUAACCAAAGCUCAAAUAUGUCAACAUAGGCAUAUUCCUCAAUUUUGACCACUCAGGAGUUUCUAAGAAAUUCAAUCCAAGAUCCAAGCGCCAUACCUUCUGAAGAUUGCUUAUUUGGUAGGGAAUAACACCAAAGAUAAAGUUUUU